ensembl:lncRNA
UGAAAAAUGGGAACUGCAACAAGUACUAAUAGAAGCCCAUUAUGGCAUGUAUUAGUCUACACCACACUCACUCUUCGAACAUUUUGUUUAUGAGUGUGGAGGGGAAGUGGACACGACUCGAUUCACACACUGUGAAAGUGAUGAUAGAAACCACACCUGCUAUAUCAAACCCACAUGCAUUCCUUUUAAAAAAUUUAGGAGAGAAGAAGAGCCUGGGUCAGGAAGCUAAAGGCCCAGUGGGGGUGCAGGAUGAGAAAGCACUGGAUGUGUGGAGCUGUGGGCUUGAAGAGUUGAAGAGUGAAGAAACAGAAAGAAGUGAUGACACUGUCUAACAGCUGCUUAACACACACUGUGUUCACUUUAUUUGUUUUUCUCUCUAUAAAUCUUCUUUGUCUUGCAACACUACUGCUGUAGAUCUGCUGUGUGUUUCAGGCAUUGCAAGUGUACAAUCCAAGUGAAGGUUUCUUUCAGAUAAAGCCUGUUGUGUAGAAGACAAUUAACAUGUUUACCCCCUUUUCAAAGAAAAGUCCUUGCACACAUCCGCCUGCCUUGCCAGUUAUUGAAAUUGGCCUCAAAAGAAGGAAAGGAAAGCAUGGAAAAAUGAGCAGGCAGUGUGUUUUCCUUCAAGCCUGUGGGGAAGCCGGACGUGGUGUGUGGGUGCGCUCAGAUAGCGGUGCUUAUCGUGCCCCUGUCUCUCCGUCUUCCUCCUUCCACUUCUCUUCCGACUUCUGGCAUGGGAGGAAGGUUAUGAUGUCAGACCACCGCCGGAGAAAGACUUAAAUGUGAGACAGAGAUAAAAAGAGUGACUAAGAUUCAGAGAGAGAAAAAGAAAAGGAAGAAUGAGAGCAGGAGAGUGACACAGUGCCAAAAGGCAGCGUGGUCAUGUGUGAGGGACUCUGAUCAACUUGCUCUGGCAGGAAAUGAGCACUGUAACAGAAUGCUGCAUGGUGCUGAUGCCGGAGGGCAAAACCCAAAACCUCACAAUGAACAACUCACCCUUUCUCUCUUUCUCUCCUACCCACUCAUCUUCCAUAUCUGGAAUCCCUCUUCCAUCAUUAGCCCUACCUCAGAAUAACCCCCCCACCCACCUUACCCCCCACCCAAACAGGAAAUGAAAACCAUUUUAAAAUCAUUUGGAAACAACAGGGGCUUAAAAUGGGGAA